AUGAGAAUAAGGGGAGAGCUUGCGAAUGGUGCAACGCCGAAGGAGCAAGUAUUUAGAUAAUGUGUUAUCGAUACGAAUCUCUCAGGCAAAAAAGACUCUUAUUUGACG
rnacentral:ncRNA from 2 species